rnacentral:lncRNA from 1 species
AAUAACCUAAUGAAUUAAAAUCUCAAAUAAAUCUCAAAUUAAUUAUAAAAUUGAUGAGAAUAUUUUUCAUAGAUUCAUCAUCCUCCAAAUAGGUUAGGGAAAUAUUUUUGUAUUUUUUGAAUAUCAAAAACUACUUAAAAUGAAUUAAAAAUAACCAGAAAAGAGAAAAUUCACAAAAAAUAUCAAAUGAUGAAAUAAAAAAUAUUAAAAAUCAGAAUUAGAAACUAGAAAUUAUUUGGAGAAGAAUGCAAUUUGUCCCAUAUUUUUUGGAUUAAAAAUGAAGAAGAUAUUGAUUUUUGAAAAUAAUGGAAAUAAAAGAAAUUAAAUCAGAAAAUUG